GGCAAAAUAUCAGNAGGAACNCCGGUGGNCNAAGGCGGANUNUUUUGGNCCAUUACUUACGCUUNAGAAGCGAAAAGCGUGGGGAGCGACAAGGAUUAAAUACCNUGGUAGUCCACNCCGUAAACGGUGGAANUAGGUGUUGGNGACAUUCCANGUCGUCGGUCCCGCAAGUAACGCAUUAAGUUCCCCCGCNUGGGAGUACGCCCGCAAGGCUAAAACUCAAAGNAAUUGACGGGGGCCGCACAAGCAGCGGAGCAUGUGGCUUAAUUCGACGCAACGCGAAGACCCUUACCAAGGCUUGACAUACACCGGAAACGGCCAGAGAUGGUCGCCCCCUUGUGGUCGGUGUACAGGUGGUGCAUGGCUGUCGUCAGCUCGUGUCGUGAGAUGUUGGGUUAAGUCCCGCAACGAGCGCAACCCUUGUCCUGUGUUGCCAGCAUGCCCUUCGGGGUGAUGGGGACUCACAGGAGACCGCCGGGGUCAACUCGGAGGAAGGUGGGGACGACGUCAAGUCAUCAUGCCCCUUAUGUCUUGGGCUGCACACGUGCUACAAUGGCAGGUACAAAGAGCUGCGAAACCGUGAGGUGGAGCGAAUCUCAAAAAGCCUGUCUCAGUUCGGAUUGGGGUCUGCAACUCGACCCCAUGAAGUCGGAGUUGCUAGUAAUCGCAGAUCAGCAUUGUAAGGUA
rnacentral:rRNA from 2 species